rnacentral:rRNA from 1 species
GAUGAACGCUAGCGGCAGGCCUAAUACAUGCAAGUCGGACGGGAUCCAUUGAUAGCUUGCUAUCAAUGGUGAGAGUGGCGCACGGGUGCGUAACGCGUGAGCAACCUGCCUCCAUCAGGGGGAUAGCCUCUCGAAAGAGAGAUUAACACCGCAUAAUAUCAACAGUUCGCAUGUUCAGUUGAUUAAAUAUUUAUAGGAUGGAGAUGGGCUCGCGUGACAUUAGCUAGUUGGUAGGGUAACGGCUUACCAAGGCGACGAUGUCUAGGGGCUCUGAGAGGAGAAUCCCCCACACUGGUACUGAGACACGGACCAGACUCCUACGGGAGGCAGCAGUAAGGAAUAUUGGUCAAUGGGCGGAAGCCUGAACCAGCCAUGCCGCGUGCAGAAUGACUGCCCUAUGGGUUGUAAACUGCUUUUGUCCAGGAAUAAACCUAAAUACGAGUAUUUAGCUGAAUGUACUGGAAGAAUAAGGAUCGGCUAACUCCGUG